rnacentral:rRNA from 1 species
AUUGAACGCGGCGGCAUGCCUUACACAUGCAAGUCGAACGGCAGCACGGGAGCAAUCCUGGUGGCGAGUGGCGAACGGGUGAGUAAUACAUCGGAACGUGCCCAAUCGUGGGGGAUAACGCAGCGAAAGCUGUGCUAAUACCGCAUACGAUCUACGGAUGAAAGCAGGGGAUCGCAAGACCUUGCGCGAAUGGAGCGGCCGAUGGCAGAUUAGGUAGUUGGUGAGGUAAAGGCUCACCAAGCCGUCGAUCUGUAGCUGGUCUGAGAGGACGACCAGCCACACUGGGACUGAGACACGGCCCAGACUCCUACGGGAGGCAGCAGUGGGGAAUUUUGGACAAUGGGCGAAAGCCUGAUCCAGCCAUGCCGCGUGCAGGAUGAAGGCCUUCGGGUUGUAAACUGCUUUUGUACGGAACGAAACGGCCUUUUCUAAUAAAGAGGGCUAAUGACGGUACCGUAAGAAUAAGCACCGGCUAACUACGUGCCAGCAGCCGCGGUAAUACGUAGGGUGCAAGCGUUAAUCGGAAUUACUGGGCGUAAAGCGUGCGCAGGCGGUUAUGUAAGACAGUUGUGAAAUCCCCGGGCUCAACCUGGGAACUGCAUCUGUGACUGCAUAGCUAGAGUACGGUAGAGGGGGAUGGAAUUCCGCGUGUAGCAGUGAAAUGCGUAGAUAUGCGGAGGAACGCCGAUGGCGAAGGCAAUCCCCUGGACCUGUACUGACGCUCAUGCACGAAAGCGUGGGGAGCAAACAGG